CUUGUAUUCCUGCCUGACUUGAGUGCAUUGUUACACAUGGGUAAAAUCUUUGGUGCUGCAGCAGCUUAAAGAAGAGCUAUGAGAUGCCAGCCAGGAUGUAUGGAUUCAGUGAAUGUGUUUUUUUAUUUUUAUUUGUUUAUUUAUUUUUUGUUUAUUUUUUUUAAAUGAAUGUGUUUUUGAGGGAUGGAGGGGAUGUGGGAGUGUUUGUAGAUAGCAAGAAUGUAGCCAGUAGAGGGGAAUGAUGGAAGAAAAGUGAGAGAUUGGGCAUGAUCUGCUAGAGAAGAUGGGAUGGAAUGCAAUGACUUUUGCUUGUGCAAAUAGAAGGGUUUUCUUUGGCAAGAAGGAGGACUACUUCAUGAGAGACAAGGGUGAAGGAGGAGAAAGUGGAAGAAGGCAUCUGAAUGAGCUACUGUAUCCUGGCAGUUGGUGGAAGCAGUCAUCAAGCAAUCCAGAAGAAGAAAGAGGAAGCAAAGCAGAGAACAGAGAACCGGAAAAAAAGGAGUAUCUAGAAGACUUCACUAUCUACAAAGAAUUCCUAUUUGACCUGGAAUUUGGCCUGGAUCUCCUCCAUCACGGUGGCAAAACCUUUUGCCAGAAGAGCAAGACUGAUGAAAUUCACUUAUGAAUAUGUACACAACAAGGUAAACUUAAAGUAAAUCAAAACAAUUUCAGAAGGGAGAGCGAGCAAGUUGGGGUGAAGUGAGUUAGAUCAGACAGGGUAGUUUAUGAGCUGCACUUUGAAGAUAGCUGGGGAUUUUAAGAGGAUAGAGAGAACAUUCCAGACUCAGGACAUAGAAUAUCUUAUAAGGAAAUAGCCAUUGACUGAAAUGGAGCGUGUGUGAAGGGAAAGAAUAAAUAAGUCUGGAAUGGCA
rnacentral:lncRNA from 1 species